rnacentral:rRNA from 1 species
AUUGAACGCUGGCGGCAGGCCUAACACAUGCAAGUCGAGCGGAGCGGCGGACGGGUGCGUAAUGCCUAGGAAUCUGCCUGGUAGUGGGGGAUAACGUCCGGAAACGGGCGAUAAUACCGCAUACUAUCAGAUGAGCCUCGGUGGGAUUAGAUAGGUGGGGGGGAAAAUGCCUACCAAGGCGACGAUCCGGAACUGGUCUGAGAGGAUGAUCAGUCACAUUGGAACUGAGACACGGUCCAGACUCCGACGGGAGGCAGCAGUGGGGAAUAUGGGACAAUGGGAGAAAGCCUGAUCCAGCCAUGCCUCGUGUGUGAAGAAGGUCUUCGGAUUGUAAAGCACUUUAAGUUGGGAGGCGUUACCAACAGAAUAAGCACCGGCUAACUCCGUGCCAGCAGCCGCGGUAAUAC